UGCUAAACCAUGGCCUCAAGUUAUAGAUUGCUCCAUAGUUGCAAAUUACUUAAACCAAUGUUGGUACCAGAUAGUACCCAGUAGUUAAACCCAGCAUGUCAACACCUAGGUACUUGACAGAUAAAUGCAUUCCUUAAAAUUUGGAGGGAACUGACAAUCCUGUUUUUAAUAGAUUCAUUCUUUAUCUGGUUCUAGAGUAUGACAGAUAGUUUCGCUUAAUGCGGAUGUGAAAAGGUAGACCCUAUCUUAGCCUAAUUUUUUUGUAGUUAAUAGUAUGUGCUAGGAUAGCUUAAUUGCUGAUUUUCUAAGUAGGCCUAAGAGUUUAUAGGGCUCCUUGUUUUUGUUGUGUUAAAUAAACCCCAGAAAAGGCCACAUUCCAUCUUCGGUAAGUUAGCACAUGUUACAUGCCUAAGUCAUUUUCCUAUUUUUUUCAUCUAAUUAAUUUCUUAUUUGCAUGCUUUUCGGUUUAACUCAAAAGAACAUCAAUGCAUCCAACUUUUUAGAGAGCAAUUUUAUAAAAUUUAACUUACUUACCCACACAAAAAUGCCAUAAAAUUGACAGCCAUGUCGAACCUCAUGUGUGGUCCCCAUUUUUAGGCCUUCCUGUACCUUCUGCUUAUCCUCUGCUUCUGCUUUUGCUGCAUUUUUAUUGUUAUUGCUUCCACCUCACUUGCUACUCCACGUGUUACCACAUCAAGUCGCUUGGAUCAUCACCUCCGGAACCUGCCUUCCUUCCAAUCGGCUACACCUAAUACCGAUUGCCUUCCACUACCUGCUAGACAUUCUGGAAGCAUCCUAACUGGUCGAUCUGUUGCUGCCUCUUUCGACUCAAACGUAUAGCUGCCAACAAAGGAGCCCCAUUCAGAUCAGGUGGGCCCUGCUACCAGUCGGAGAGACUCAGAAUUUCAGGCACAUUGCAAUGAACUGGGUGAUCAAAUCUGGAUGAAAAAUUACAUGUCAGCACUUAAAAAUUGAUUACAAAAAUAUUUUGGAGGAAACCAAGGAGGAACACGAUGUGCAGAAUAUUUUGACAGUUUAUGGAGCAAAAUGAGCACUAUUACAUCCUUUCUAAAUUAUUAUUAUUAAGGUAUAUGUUGCCAUCUAGCGGGCUUAGGAGAAAUGUCUAGCUCUCUUGCUUUGCCGAUGACAGAAAUUGAGAAGGCCC